CAGUCCGAGUCCCAGCACCAUGUAUGUAUGCUCAUAAAUUAGCAUUUAUGACUGGGCAGACUGUGAAUGCUCCAGCACAUCGGGAUCUACUGGAUAGACUAUGGUAUCUGUGAAGCAAGGUCUUGUCUUGAGUGUCUGAUACAAAGAAAAUUUUCCUUCUCAUUUUGUUUGGAACUUUAGUAGUGUCAAUAAGUGAAUAAAAUUGAUGUUAUGCUAGAAAUAUUUCAUAAUAAACUAAUUAGUAUUAAAUAGUGAUAAUCAA